UUUAUUGGAGAGUUUGAUCCUGGCUCAGGACGAACGCUGGCGGCGUGCCUAAUACAUGCAAGUCGAGCGGACUUUAAAAGCUUGCUUUUAAAGUUAGCGGCGGACGGGUGAGUAACACGUGGGCAACCUGCCUGUAAGACUGGGAUAACUUCGGGAAACCGGAGCUAAUACCGGAUAAUCCUUUUCCUCUCAUGAGGAAAAGCUGAAAGACGGUUUACGCUGUCACUUACAGAUGGGCCCGCGGCGCAUUAGCUAGUUGGUGAGGUAACGGCUCACCAAGGCGACGAUGCGUAGCCGACCUGAGAGGGUGAUCGGCCACACUGGGACUGAGACACGGCCCAGACUCCUACGGGAGGCAGCAGUAGGGAAUCUU
rnacentral:rRNA from 2 species